GCGACGAGUCUGAGAUGUCCUCGUAAUUCUUGGACCACAGGAAUUUGGAGUCGGGGGUCAGGUUGCCGCAUUCAAAGUUCAGGGAGAUGUUCCCAUCAUCAUCGACAUCCACAACUAUUUCCUUGGUGCCUAAAACCCAGAGGAGAUUCUUCACCUGCAGAACAAAGAAGCUGAAUAAGCAAGCAUUUGGAACGUGUGAAAGCCGUCACAGAGGGACCACAGCGACCUUGAAGAAGGUAUUCUCUGUGGCCUUGGUGUUGAUUCCUCUCCAAGCUUCCUCUGGGGCUUCAGCUUCCUUUAUAUCGAUGUAGAAGCCGUUGACAGGAUCGCGGCCCUGGUACACCGGUGGUUUCCAUAGCAGUGUCAUGGAGUCACACCGCACCUCCCUGAGUUCUAGAUCAUGAGGAGGUCCUACGGUGCGAGAAAAGGUCAAACGUCCGUAUGGCCAUGAAAAAAAACGAUGCUUAGUCAAGUUUUAAAGGCCUAGAUCUUCACUGAGGUGCUGUCAGCGGCUAAAAGUGCACCUGGAACAGCAAUGGUCCACUCCUCGCACAGGAACGUGUCGCUGGGAAGUGAUGGUCAGUCACCUACAGACAUGAAAAGGGUGGUGCCUUUCUUAGCUUCAACAACUGCAUGUGAGACUCAAGAAGACUCACUCUGUAGGCCCGAUCGCUGAUCGCCCUGAUGUUGGCCUCGUGCCACUUGCCCGGCACUCCGUCGAUGACGUCACGGUAAUCCACAAAGUAUCCGGUGAUGUCAGCCCCGCCGAUGAAGGCCGGCUGUUUCCAGGCCAGCACCAUGGAGUCACGUACACACUCCAGCACAGUGAUGCCAAACGGUGGGGCAGGGGACGCUGAGAUGACAGACAACUCAAAUGAACCCUAAAUGCAUCGCAAACUGAAGCUCAACUACUAAGAGACACAUUUAAUUCCGAAAGCCCUUGACUUCCUAGCAAAAAUGUAUUUUAAAACUAUUUUGUAGCUCAGUAAAUGCUGGAAGAUCAAUUACU